rnacentral:rRNA from 1 species
GGAUUAGCCAUGCAAGUCGAGCGAUCCUUGCUUGAAACUUGUUGGAGUGCUUGCACAAAGAUAAGUGGAUGGUAGGGAUAGCGGCAAACGGGUGAGGAACACGUGAGUAACUUGCCCUUAAGACAGGGAUAGCUUCGUGAAAACGGAGGUAAUAUCUGAUGUGCCCCUGACAUCACAUGAUGACUUGGGUAAAGGUGGGGACCGCAAGGCCUACCGCUUAGGGAUGGACUCGCGUCCUAUCAGCUUGUUGGUGGGGUAACGGCCUACCAAGGCGUUUGACGGGUAGCUGGUCUGAGAGGAUGGUCAGCCACACUGGGACUGAGACACUGCCCAGACUCCUACGGGAGGCUGCAGUCGAGAAUAUUUAGCAAUGGGCGAAAGCCUGACUAUGCGACGCCGCGUGAGGGAUGAAGGGUUUCGGCUCGUAAACCUCUUUUGUCAGGAAAGAACAUUCUAUGGUUAAUAGCCAUAGAACUGACGGUACCUGACGAAUAAGCCACGGCCAACUCCGUGCCAGCAGCCGCGGUAAUA